CGCGCCGCGCCGCACGGAGGGGCCGCGGGCAGCUCCGGCACCGGCAGCGCCGACAGCCCACCGGCAAACACCCGCCCGCCGGAGCGGGCAUGGAAUAUACAAAAACACAAAGGAAAAGUGGCUGCUGGACUGUUCUGGGGGCAAAAUGCUGGAAGUUUUGGCUGAAUUAAGUGAAGGCGAAGCGUGGUUUGGAAGUCCACUGACUGACAUUGUUCCGGACCGGGGGAUCUCUCUGAUUUUUAGAGGAACUACAGUUUAGCGGCAGCCAGCCGGACACAGUCACCACGCCGCAGAGUGGCCAGCAACGAGCGGGCGAGAGAAAUGAGAAAGCACAAAGACUGAACUAACCCGACCCUCCUCUUUCUCCUCCUUCCCCGGCUCUUUAUUUGCACAUUUACUUAAGACUUAAAAGAAAAAAAAAAAAAAAGAAAAAGAAAAAAAAAAAAAAAAGAGAGAGAGAGAAACCCCAACAAACCCACUCCAGAUAACCUACGAGAUUUUCGGUCCGCCGGGGGUUUCUCCACGUCGCCGACCACGGCAAUGCCUUAAAUUUUCACUUCAAGGAAUAACACCCCCCGCUCCCCCGAAAUAAAAUAAACCCAAUAAACCUGCCAAGUCUCACUCAUU